GGUCAUUGAGUUAUUAAAUGAUAAUGCCACUAAAGAAGCAAUAGUCUACAAUGAUGAUAGUGACGACGAACUAAUGGAAAAAAUUGAGUCGAUUGAAUUCACAAACAUACAUCUGGUGCGGUGUGCUGCGCACACACUUCAGUUGUGCUCGUGUGAUGUUAAUAAGCAAGGCGACAUUACGGAAAAGGUCAACAAUUGCCGCCAACUGUGUAAAACUCUGCGUACUAGGAAAUACAGGUGAAUGCGGCAACAGGCUCUGGUGCAGAACCUACCCCACCCCAGAAAGAUCACAAUUCAUCAAAUGAUUCCAGUGCUUCCAAAGAAAGUUCGCUAUUUUCAUCAUAUUUGGAUGACAUGCAGCCCCUUCAGCAAAACUAAAAUGAGCCAGCAUCGGAGAAA